rnacentral:rRNA from 1 species
AUUGAACGCUGGCGGCAGGCCUAACACAUGCAAGUCGAGCGGAUGACGGGAGCUUGCUCCUUGAUUCAGCGGCGGACGGGUGAGUAAUGCCUAGGAAUCUGCCUGGUAGUGGGGGGCAACGUUUCGAAAGGAACGCUAAUACCGCAUACGUCCUACGGGAGGAAGCAGGGGACCUUCGGGCCUUGCGCUAUCAGAUGAGCCUAGGUCGGAUUAGCUAGUAGGUGAGGUAAUGGCUCACCUAGGCGACGAUCCGUAACUGGUCUGAGAGGAUGAACAGUCACACUGGAACUGAGACACGGUCCAGACUCCUACGGGAGGCAGCAGUGGGGAAUAUUGGACAAUGGGCGAAAGCCUGAUCCAGCCAUGCCGCGUGUGUGAAGAAGGUCUUCGGAUUGUAAAGCACUUUAAGUUGGGAGGAAGGGUUGUACGUUAAUACCGUGCAAUUUUGACGUUACCGACAGAAUAAGCACCGGCUAACUCUGUGCCAGCCGCCGCGGUAACAC